AGUCAGCAGAAGAGAUAAAAGCGAACAGGUCUGGGAGGCAGUUCUGUUGCCACUCUCUCUCCUGUCAAUGAUGGAUCUCAGAAAUACCCCAGCCAAAUCUCUGGACAAGUUCAUUGAAGACUAUCUCUUGCCAGACACGCAUUUCCGCAUGCAAAUCAACCAUGCCAUCGACACCAUCUGUGGGUUCCUGAAGGAAAGGUGCUUCCGAGGUAGCUCCUACCCUGCGCGUGUGUCCAAGGUGGUAAAGGGUGGCUCCUCAGGCAAGGGCACCGCCCUCAGAGGCCGAUCUGACGCUGACCUGGUUGUCUUCCUCAGUCCUCUCACCACUUUUCAGGAUCAGUUAAAUCGCCGGGGAGAGUUCAUCCAGGAAAUUAGGAAACAGCUGGAAGCCUGUCAAAGAGAGAGAGCAUUUUCCGUGAAGUUUGAGGUCCAGGCUCCACGCUGGGACAACCCCCGUGCGCUCAGCUUCGUACUGAGUUCGUUCCAGCUCAGGGAGGGAGUGGAGUUCGAUGUGCUGCCUGCCUUUGAUGCCCUGGCUCAUCGAGGAGUGCACCGACCUGCAGAAAGAGGGCGAGUUCUCCACCUGCUUCACAGAACUACAGAGAGACUUCCUGAAGCAGCGCCCCACCAAGCUCAAGAGCCUCAUCCGCCUAGUCAAGCACUGGUACCAAAAUUGUAAGAAGAAGCUUGGGAAGCUACCACCUCAGUAUGCCCUGGAGCUCCUGACGGUCUAUGCUUGGGAGAGAGGGAGCAUGAAAACACAUUUCAACACAGCCCAGGGAUUUCGGACGGUCUUGGAAUUAGUCAUAAACUACCAGCAACUCUGCAUCUACUGGACAAAGUAUUAUGACUUUGAAAACCCCAUUAUUAAAAAGUACCUGAGCAGGCAGCUCAGGAAACCCAGGUAUGCUAUCCCCACAUGGCUUAGCUCUCCUAUGUAAAUGAACACCUGGAUACAGGUACAGUGCCUUGGAAAUGGAGGAGGUGGGAGGGCUCCCCACUUAGUGAGAAUCUCCUGUUGCCCAUCAUUGUACUGGGCAUUUUACUAUUGCCAUCUGAUUUAAACACCUACCUCCAAUCCUGUGAGGCAGGCACUAUGCCAAUCAUUUUACAGGUGAGUA
rnacentral:sRNA from 1 species